GACAUCGAAGGAUCGAUGAAGGCCGCCAAGGAUGGAAGCCAGGGAUAGCCGCAGGAUCGCGACUUCAUCAGGAUGAUGACCCACGGACGAAAAACAUGAAGCGACAAGGCGAUCCCUUGUCGCUUUUUG
rnacentral:sRNA from 1 species